CUCCGUAAGAUUGAUUCACAUGAACAUGUGCCAUGAGGAUGCCGACCAGAUGGACAAAUGUUUGAUCGACGGUCACUCCAACGCAUGGUUGUCAAGUCGUCGACUAGUCGACGACUAGUCGGCGACUAGUCGACAAGUCGGUGAGGAAGCAAAAGUCGACCCGCGACUUUUUGAAUCUGGCGUCCAUGGGUUUUAUCUGGAUCCGACCCGGAACCCAGCCCGCAACCCACAAAUAACUUGACCCGACUUAAUAAAACAUACCUGGGCUGCUUAAUAAUUAAAACCUAAUAGCCUACCGCCUUCGUCUCGUACUGGGUUCACCUCAUCAGUCAUCUCCAUCUCCGAUCUCGUCAACGGCGGCUCUCCGAUCUCUGCUCCAGAGUUAAGCUGCUAACUCGGUCUACAAACUUCAGUACUGAUGAUGUUGGAGAAGAUGAGGAUGAUGACAAUAUUCUUCUUGAUGAUGAGGACGUUGAAGAUGAUUAUGGUUUGCCCCCCGAGGAGAAUAUUCGAGAUGGAGAUGGAGAUCAUGAUGAGAUGAAUGACUAUUGAUGCAUAAUUGUGUUUGUUUAGUUAAUUUGACUCUUUGAUGCAUUAUUGUGUUUUUUAGUUGCUUCCACUAUAUAACUUUGGGUACUUGAACUUAUUAUCUAUUAGUUUUAUUUGAAUUAUGGAA